rnacentral:lncRNA from 1 species
CCAUACCAAACAUAGCCUAAAUUCGUAGGUGCAUGCCCCAAAAAAUAAGAAAAUGUGAAAGCCGAUUCAAAUCCAACAUUCUCAAGUAAGAAAUUCAUGCCAUUGAGACUUCAACAGGUUAUGGACCAUCUUUACAUUAGGUUUUCAAGACAAGGUAGUGUGUAAAUCUGUCUUCCAACUUUCGUGCCAGCUUUGGUGUCUAUAAUAAUUUGUAACAAAUUCUACUAAUAACGUGAAAUUGAUUUAAUAUUUUAGACCCUUAGUUUCUGUCACACUUCCAAUCCACGAUCAUGGAUCCAAGAUCAUGACAACCGCCAUACAUUCAUAGAGAACUCUCCUCA